GGGGAGCUUGCACUUCAAAAAAAAAAAUCGCUGUUGGGAGACAGACAGGGUGCUGCAUUGCCAAUUCGGGGCAAGCCCACCUUGAGGAGGAAGGCGGGAUGGGGGUGGUACACACCUCAGAGUUCUGGCCAGAAUUCUUGUUUUGCUGCCGCUGGGUUUUUCCCUAAGCAGAACAGGUUUUUCUCAGGCCAGCCAGGCUGCCAUGAACUUCUGGUCCCUUCAAGCAGUAAACACCACCAGCCACGGGUUUCAAUCUGCACUCUGGCGCCUCUUCCUCGUUUUCUUUCAAACUGCGGGUUUGAAAAAUUGGAACGCUCGGACUGGAGAGGAGGCUCGGAAUUAAGAGCACUCGCUGCUCUUGCAAAGAACUCGAUCCUGGGAUGUGCUGAGAUCUCCACUGGUGCCUACAAAGAAACACAAAUUCAUCAUAUCACAGUUGCAGCUGGCUUACAAAACCAGAGAUGCUGUUUCUCCAUCUUCUAAGGACCCCUAUGCUCAAGGAUGUGUGGAUAACUGAAGGGGAGCCCAGCUCAGGCUUGAGUUCAGAAAAUCUUUCCAGGACUCUAAUCACCUAGGAUUUCAUUUCAUCAAAGGCAUGUUCUCAUCUGUCAGCCCAUUGUCCAAGCCCACCCUUCCAGUUCCUGUAAGUUACCUUUGGGCAAAAUAAAGAUAACAUUUAUUAAUUUCUCUCUUUCAAA
rnacentral:lncRNA from 1 species